GGAAGUAAAAGUCGUAACGAGGUUUCCGUAGGUGAACCUGCGGAAGGAUCAUUAUUGUAUAACCGAGGUGCGAGGGCUGUCGCUGACCCGAAAGGUCGUGCACGCCCGAGUGCCCUCACACACAUCCAUCUCACCCCUAUGUGCACCACCGCGUGGGUCCCCCUUUGGCUUGUUCGGAGGGGGGCUUACGUUUUCACACAAACUUUGUAUGCAGUGUAGAAUGUAUUUUUUGUUUUUGCGAUCACGCAAUCAAUACAACUUUCAACAACGGAUCUCUUGGCUCUC
rnacentral:misc_RNA from 1 species